UUCUCAUUCAAUGCGUUUUCUUUAUUUUCAUGACUAUUUAUAUUGUAGAUUGUCAAAACUAUGAAUGGACACGUAUGGAGUUAUGUACUUAACAAAAAAAGGUGAAAUAACUGAAAACAUGCUUUGUAUUCUAGUUUCUUCAAAAUAGCCACCCUUUGCUCUGAUUACUGCUUUGCACACUCUUGGCAUUCUCUCGAUGAGCUUCAAGCACACCUGUGAAGUGAAAACCAUUUCAGGUGGAGCUGAUGGUGCAUCACCGAAAAAGAAAAGGAUUGACUUCACAGAAUGGGAGGAGGAUACACCUGUGCUUGUUGAUGAAGUAGAGGAUUAUUCCUCUACAGACUUCCAUCUCGACGGAUCAGCAGAGGAAAAUCUACUUUUCUUUUGGGGGAAACAAGGACAAUCAUUCCCACGACUACAACACCUUGCCAAGAGAAUCCUAUGCGUCCCAGCAACAAAUGGCGCAAGUGAGCGCUCCUUCAGCGCAGCAGGGCGCAUUUUAGAGGCCAGGCGCUCUCGCAUGAAUCCUGGCACUGUAGAUGCCAUUUUAUUCCGGCAUAGUGCUAACAAAAAAAAAGUAAGUAGUCAUACGGUUGGAUAUGUUAAACGAAUUAGUCUACGUUACUUAUAGGCUAUACCAAAUAAGCCCAUGUCUAACCUAUAUUGAGUUCAGUCAGCUGAAUAAUUUUGAUGGUUACGUGUUGUUUGGGCGCACUACAAUGCAAAGGAAUUAAGGCAAUUGCUUUGUUUAUUGUGGUUUUUUCUAGUCGAGAUAUACUACUGUGUGUUAAUUAUUUGGCCUCACUUUCAAGUGAAGCGCAUCUCCGAUUGGCUACAAUGUAAGGAUAUUUAGCCUGCUUUGUUUGUCGCGACCGUCUAUUUUCAUUAUAAUCCAAGUUUGAUGAUAAAGUGCAGUCUGAUGGGUUUGAUUUCCCCCCUUCAGCUUUUUGCCUUGGCCAAUAAGUUGCAGGCAAUUUAUUAUUAUUAUUUAUUUAAUUAAUUUUUGUUUAAAUAGGGAUGACAUACAUAUGUUAUUGUAUAAUUUAAGUUUGUGCGCGUGAUUGACAGCCUAAGGCUUAUGAGGCACAUUUUUUAUUUAUUUUUUAUUUCAACUUAAAAACGUAUGAGCCUAUGCCUACAACAUAGGCUAUGUGUUCAUCUUUAUUUUCCUGCCUGUUGUUGACAAUGGAGAUUGUCUGAUAUUUUGUCAUGGCUGCAGAUCAAUCAAUAAAGGUUCAUCUUUAUCGCGAAA